GCUCGCUUAGCUCAGUUGGUUAGAGCGUCGUACUAAUAUGUCUAACAAACAUAUCAAGUAAUGCGAAGGUCGCCAGUUCGACCCUGGUAGUGAGCA
rnacentral:tRNA from 4 species